rnacentral:rRNA from 1 species
AGCAGCCGCGGUAAUUCCAGCUCCAAUAGCGUAUAUUAAAGUUGUUGCAGUUAAAAAGCUCGUAGUUGAACUUCGGGAUUUGUUCGUUGGUCAGGCUUCACUGUCUAUACUGGUGUUACGAAUUCCUACCUUCUGAUGAAUCUUCAUGCCAUUCACUUGGUGCGGAGGGGAAUCAGGACUGUUACUUUGAAAAAUUAGAGUGUUUAAAGCAGGCUAUUGCUCGAAUAUAUUAGCAUGGAAUAAUAAAAUAGGACGGCUGGUUCUAUUUUGUUGGUUUCUAGGAUCACCGUAAUGAUUAAUAGGGAUAGUUGGGGGCAUUAGUAUUCAAUUGUCAGAGGUGAAAUUCUUGGAUUUAUUGAAGACUAACUACUGCGAAAGCAUUUGCCAAGGAUGUUUUCAUUAAUCAAGAACGAAAGUUAGGGGAUCGAAGACGAUCAGAUACCGUCGUAG